AACGUAGGAGCCAAGCGUUAUCCGAAUUCACUGGGCGUAAAGCGCGUGCAGGCGGUCUGGUAAGUUGGAUGUGAAAUCUCCUGGCUCAACUGGGAGAGGCCGUUCAAUACUGUCAGACUAGAGGGCGACAGAGGGAGGUGGAAUUCCGGGUGUAGUGGUGAAAUGCGUAGAUAUCCGGAGGAACACCAGAGGCGAAGGCGACCUCCUGGGUCGUACCUGACGCUCAGAUGCGAAAGCUAGGGGAGCGAACGGG
rnacentral:rRNA from 1 species